GUGCUGAAGCAACAAAUGCCCUGCUUCCAGGAAAAGCCUCUAAGCAUCAGGUAACACGAAAUCGUACCCCAAACCGACACAGGUGGUCAGGUAGAGAAUACCAAGGCGCUUGAGAGAACUCGGGUGAAGGAACUAGGCAAAAUGGUGCCGUAACUUCGGGAGAAGGCACGCUGACACGUAGGUGAAGUGAUUUACUCAUGGAGCUGAAGUCAGUCGAAGAUACCAGCUGGCUGCAACUGUUUAUUAAAAACACAGCACUGUGCAAACACGAAAGUGGACGUAUACGGUGUGACGCCUGCCCGGUGCCGGAAGGUUAAUUGAUGGGGUCAGCGUAAGCGAAGCUCCUGAUCGAAGCCCCGGUAAACGGCGGCCGUAACUAUAACGGUCCUAAGGUAGCGAAAUUCCUUGUCGGGUAAGUUCCGACCUGCACGAAUGGCGUAAUGAUGGCCAGGCUGUCUCCACCCGAGACUCAGUGAAAUUGAACUCGCUGUGAAGAUGCAGUGUACCCGCGGCAAGACGGAAAGACCCCGUGAACCUUUACUAUAGCUUGACACUGAACAUUGAGCCUUGAUGUGUAGGAUAGGUGGGAGGCUUUGAAGUGUGGACGCCAGUCUGCAUGGAGCCGACCUUGAAAUACCACCCUUUAAUGUUUGAUGUUCUAACGUGGACCCGUAAUCCGGGUUGCGGACAGUGUCUGGUGGGUAGUUUGACUGGGGCGGUCUCCUCCUAAAGAGUAACGGAGGAGCACGAAGGUUGGCUAAUCCUGGUCGGACAUCAGGAGGUUAGUGCAAUGGCAUAAGCCAGCUUGACUGCGAGCGUGACGGCGCGAGCAGGUGCGAAAGCAGGUCAUAGUGAUCCGGUGGUUCUGAAUGGAAGGGCCAUCGCUCAACGGAUAAAAGGUACUCCGGGGAUAACAGGCUGAUACCGCCCAAGAGUUCAUAUCGACGGCGGUGUUUGGCACCUCGAUGUCGGCUCAUCACAUCCUGGGGCUGAAGUAGGUCCCAAGGGUAUGGCUGUUCGCCAUUUAAAGUGGUACGCGAGCUGGGUUUAGAACGUCGUGAGACAGUUCGGUCCCUAUCUGCCGUGGGCGCUGGAGAACUGAGGGGGGCUGCUCCUAGUACGAGAGGACCGGAGUGGACGCAUCACUGGUGUUCGGGUUGUCAUGCCAAUGGCACUGCCCGGUAGCUAAAUGCGGAAGAGAUAAGUGCUGAAAGCAUCUAAGCACGAAACUUGCCCCGA
rnacentral:rRNA from 2 species